rnacentral:rRNA from 1 species
GGUUAAGCGACUAAGCGUACACGGUGGAUGCCCUGGCAGUCAGAGGCGAUGAAGGGCGUGCUAAUCUGCGAUAAGCGCCGGUAAGGUGAUAUGAACCGUUAUAACCGGCGAUACCCGAAUGGGGAAACCCAGUGUGAUUCGUCACACUAUCAUUAACUGAAUCCAUAGGUUAAUGAGGCGAACCGGGGGAACUGAAACAUCUAAGUACCCCGAGGAAAAGAAAUCAACCGAGAUUCCCCCAGUAGCGGCGAGCGAACGGGGAGGAGCCCAGAGCCUGAAUCAGCAUGUGUGUUAGUGGAAGCGUCUGGAAAGGCGCGCGAUACAGGGUGACAGCCCCGUACACAAAAGCGCAUGUGCUGUGAGCUCGAUGAGUAGGGCGGGACACGUGGUAUCCUGUCUGAAUAUGGGGGGACCAUCCUCCAAGGCUAAAUACUCCUGACUGACCGAUAGUGAACCAGUACCGUGAGGGAAAGGCGAAAAGAACCCCGGCGAGGGGAGUGAAAAAGAACCUGAAACCGUGUACGUACAAGCAGUGGGAGCACAGGUUUACCUGUGUGACUGCGUACCUUUUGUAUAAUGGGUCAGCGACUUAUAUUCUGUAGCAAGGUUAACCGAAUAGGGGAGCCGGAGGGAAACCGAGUCUUAAUUGGGCGUUAAGUUGCAGGGUAUAGACCCGAAACCCGGUGAUCUAGCCAUGGGCAGGUUGAAGGUUGGGUAACACUAACUGGAGGACCGAACCGACUAAUGUUGAAAAAUUAGCGGAUGACCUGUGGCUGGGGGUGAAAGGCCAAUCAAACCGGGAGAUAGCUGGUUCUCCCCGAAAGCUAUUUAGGUAGCGCCUCGUGAAUUCAUCUCCGGGGGUAGAGCACUGUUUCGGCUAGGGGGCCAUCCCGGCUUACCAACCCGAUGCAAACUGCGAAUACCGGAGAAUGUUAUCACGGGAGACACACGGCGGGUGCUAACGUCCGUCGUGAAGAGGGAAACAACCCAGACCGCCAGCUAAGGUCCCAAAGUCAUGGUUAAGUGGGAAACGAUGUGGGAAGGCCCAGACAGCCAGGAUGUUGGCUUAGAAGCAGCCAUCAUUUAAAGAAAGCGUAAUAGCUCACUGGUCGAGUCGGCCUGCGCGGAAGAUGUAACGGGGCUAAACCAUGCACCGAAGCUGCGGCAGCGAACGUAUCACUUAAAGCGAUUCAGCGGGUUACGAUUGACGGAGCGAAGCGACGUCAAAGCGUAUACAAAGUCGAGUCGGUUUAAGGAUACGUUCGUUGGGUAGGGGAGCGUUCUGUAAGCCCGUGAAGGUGGCCUGUGAGGGUUGCUGGAGGUAUCAGAAGUGCGAAUGCUGACAUAAGUAACGAUAAAGCGGGUGAAAAGCCCGCUCGCCGGAAGACCAAGGGUUCCUGUCCAACGUUAAUCGGGGCAGGGUGAGUCGACCCCUAAGGCGAGGCCGAAAGGCGUAGUCGAUGGGAAACGGGUUAAUAUUCCCGUACUUGGUGUUACUGCGAAGGGGGGACGGAGAAGGCUAUGUUGGCCGGGCGACGGUUGUCCCGGUUUAAGCGUGUAGGUGUGUGUUCCAGGUAAAUCCGGUUCACUUUAACACUGAGGCGUGACGACGAGGCACUACGGUGCUGAAGCAACAAAUGCCCUGCUUCCAGGAAAAGCCUCUAAGCAUCAGGUAACACGAAAUCGUACCCCAAACCGACACAGGUGGUCAGGUAGAGAAUACCAAGGCGCUUGAGAGAACUCGGGUGAAGGAACUAGGCAAAAUGGUGCCGUAACUUCGGGAGAAGGCACGCUGACACGUAGGUGAAGUGAUUUACUCAUGGAGCUGAAGUCAGUCGAAGAUACCAGCUGGCUGCAACUGUUUAUUAAAAACACAGCACUGUGCAAACACGAAAGUGGACGUAUACGGUGUGACGCCUGCCCGGUGCCGGAAGGUUAAUUGAUGGGGUCAGCGCAAGCGAAGCUCCUGAUCGAAGCCCCGGUAAACGGCGGCCGUAACUAUAACGGUCCUAAGGUAGCGAAAUUCCUUGUCGGGUAAGUUCCGACCUGCACGAAUGGCGUAAUGAUGGCCAGGCUGUCUCCACCCGAGACUCAGUGAAAUUGAACUCGCUGUGAAGAUGCAGUGUACCCGCGGCAAGACGGAAAGACCCCGUGAACCUUUACUAUAGCUUGACACUGAACAUUGAGCCUUGAUGUGUAGGAUAGGUGGGAGGCUUUGAAGUGUGGACGCCAGUCUGCAUGGAGCCGACCUUGAAAUACCACCCUUUAAUGUUUGAUGUUCUAACGUGGACCCGUAAUCCGGGUUGCGGACAGUGUCUGGUGGGUAGUUUGACUGGGGCGGUCUCCUCCUAAAGAGUAACGGAGGAGCACGAAGGUUGGCUAAUCCUGGUCGGACAUCAGGAGGUUAGUGCAAUGGCAUAAGCCAGCUUGACUGCGAGCGUGACGGCGCGAGCAGGUGCGAAAGCAGGUCAUAGUGAUCCGGUGGUUCUGAAUGGAAGGGCCAUCGCUCAACGGAUAAAAGGUACUCCGGGGAUAACAGGCUGAUACCGCCCAAGAGUUCAUAUCGACGGCGGUGUUUGGCACCUCGAUGUCGGCUCAUCACAUCCUGGGGCUGAAGUAGGUCCCAAGGGUAUGGCUGUUCGCCAUUUAAAGUGGUACGCGAGCUGGGUUUAGAACGUCGUGAGACAGUUCGGUCCCUAUCUGCCGUGGGCGCUGGAGAACUGAGGGGGGCUGCUCCUAGUACGAGAGGACCGGAGUGGACGCAUCACUGGUGUUCGGGUUGUCAUGCCAAUGGCACUGCCCGGUAGCUAAAUGCGGAAGAGAUAAGUGCUGAAAGCAUCUAAGCACGAAACUUGCCCCGAGAUGAGUUCUCCCUGAGACUUAGAGUCUCCUGAAGGAACGUUGAAGACGACGACGUUGAUAGGCCGGGUGUGUAAGCGCAGCGAUGCGUUGAGCUAACCGGUACUAAUGAACCGUGAGGCUUAACCUU